CUCAAGGACCAUAGAAUGAGAGAGAGAACAUUUUUUGUUCACAUAGACGCUGAAUAUACGUAUAAAUGUCAGAAAAUUCAAAUUUUUUAUGUCCAAAUAGAAAUGUCCCGGACUGUAAACGCGUGUUGGACCGAUUUCUACAACCAGGCCGUGCCAACCGAUAUUUGGUGGCACUUUUCCAUUUCUUUGACGUUCAUGUGGGCGUUUUUACUCAGUCUCUACACUGAUGUGAGACGAAAGGAUUUUUUUAUAAUGUUGGUACACCACAUUUCCGUCAUUGUUUUCACCUGUUUGUGCUGGAAUGCCAACUUUUUUCGCAUGUUUAGUCUCGGAUUGGUCUUGCACGACUGCUGCGAUAUUUUCCUAGAGGGCGCCAAAAUCGCAAGGUAUUUGAAAUAUGAAAGGGUUUUCCACGCGCUUUUUGGUAUUUUUACCAUGGUUUGGGUGGUCACAAGAUUGGGGCUUUUCCCCUUUUGGAUAAUAAAAAAUGUUGUUGUGGACGUCCCAGAAAUUAUGCCCAACUUUACUUCUUUCGCCAUGUAUUACAUAUUUGUAGCUUUUUUAUUUCUUUUCCUCACACUUGACUUUAUUUGGACGUACUAUAUAUUCAAAAUGGCGGCGUCUUUGCUCACUCGAGGGCACUUAAAGGGAGAUGCAAGAUCAGACGAUGAAAAAUAACUUUAUAAUAAUUACGA